GGUUAUUUUCUAUUGGUACAUGAUUAGAAAAAUAUUUUUCUAUCGGAAUUCAUACUUUUUUUUUAGUUUUUACACACAUGAGUAUUCGAGUUUUCAGUAGUGUAUUGAUGUGAGGCCUUGAUUCAAACCCCGCUAGCUGAACCUAGCAGGAUCUUUGCAUACACCCAGGUCUGGGUGGCAUGGUUGACAGCCUGUUUGAUUUAUUUGCAUUGUAUGCACUAAUUUCUCGGGGUGAUGUCCAUGUAGCGGACGGUUUAGUGGCCACCCUUUUGCCCCUCCAUGAUUUUUAAGGAAGAAGGAAGAAGAAGAAAGAGAAGGAAGGGAGAGCAUAUAUAGGAAGAAGAAGAAAGGGAAGGAAGGAAGAGGAAGACCAAGAGAAAGAGGAAGAAGAAGGAGCCCGUGCUAGGUUCAUGUGCUGCAUCCGCCAUUGGCACAAAGAAAACACGUUUUUCUUUGUAUGUUAGUUGUCCAAGAACAAGCAGCGCUGUUGUUGACUAGAUAUAAUAACCUAGUGAAACGAAGAAGAGGAUAAGACGCCAGCUUCCUGCUUAGGCCCUUUUUGGUUCCACCCCAACUGAAACUACAUUCAGUUAGAUAAUUGCCAAAACUAUUCUGUGUAGCCAGCUAUAGAUAAAAGAGAAUGGAGAUUGCACUAAAGGAAUAUCGCACUAAUUUUUGGCCUGCAGCUAAACAUGUUAGGAUCCUUAUAUAUUUUGUUCUAAAUUCUGAAAAACAACUUGAGAAACACACUUCCUUUCUUUUUUACCAUAUAAACAUAUUAGUAUUCGCAGUUUAUAUUCAUCUUCCUUUCAUGUCGUGUGUAUAUAUAACUGAUGACGAGCAAGCAGUA
rnacentral:lncRNA from 1 species